UACGUAGGGACCAAGCGUUGUUCGGAUUUACUGGGCGUAAAGGGCGCGUAGGCGGCUUAACAAGUCACUUGUGAAAUCUCCGGGCUUAACUCGGAACGGCCAAGUGAAACUGUCAAGCUAGAGUGCAGAAGGGGCAAUCGGAAUUCUUGGUGUAGCGGUGAAAUGCGCAGAUAUCAGGAGGAACACCGAUGGCGAAGGCAGGUCUCUGGGCCACUACUGACGCUGAGAAGCGAAAGCAUGGGGAGCGAACAGG
rnacentral:rRNA from 1 species